rnacentral:rRNA from 1 species
UACGAAGGGGGCUAGCGUUGUUCGGAAUUACUGGGCGUAAAGGGCGCGUAGGCGGUGUGUCAAGUCAGGCGUGAAAGCCCCGGGCUCAACCUGGGAACAGCGCUUGAGACUGGCACGCUCGAGUUCGGGAGAGGAUGGUGGAAUUCCCAGUGUAGAGGUGAAAUGCGUAGAUAUUGGGAAGAACACCGAUGGCGAAGGCAGCCAUCUGGACCGACACUGACGCUGAGGCGCGAAAGCGUGGGGAGCAAACAGG